GAUGAACGCUGGCGGCGUGCCUAAUACAUGCAAGUCGAGCGAACAGACGAGGAGCUUACUCCUCUGACGUUAGCGGCGGACGGGUGAGUAACACGUGGAUAACCUACCUAUAAGACUGGGAUAACUUCGGGAAACCGGAGCUAAUACCGGAUAACAUGUUGAACCGCAUGGUUCAACAGUGAAAGACGGUCUUGCUGUCACUUAUAGAUGGAUCCGCGUCGCAUUAGCUAGUUGGUAAGGUAACGGCUUACCAAGGCAACGAUGCGUAGCCGACCUGAGAGGGUGAUCGGCCACACUGGAACUGAGCCACGGUCCAGACUCCUACGGGAGGCAGCAGUAGGGAAUCUUCCGCAAUGGGCGAAAGCCUGACGGAGCAACGCCGCGUGAGUGAAGAAGGUCUUCGGAUCGUAAAACUCUGUUAUUAGGGAAGAACAAAUGUGUAAGUAACUAUGCACGUCUUGACGGUACCUAAUCAGAAAGCCACGGCUAACUACGUG
rnacentral:rRNA from 1 species